UCGAACGCCGUAGCAAUACGGAGUGGCAGACGGGUGAGUAACACGUGGGAACAUACCCUUUGGUUCGGAACAACACAGGGAAACUUGUGCUAAUACCGGAUAAGCCCUUACGGGGAAAGAUUUAUCGCCGAAGGAUUGGCCCGCGUCUGAUUAGCUAGUUGGUGGGGUAACGGCCCACCAAGGCUACGAUCAGUAGCUGGUCUGAGAGGAUGAUCAGCCACACUGGGACUGAGACACGGCCCAGACUCCUACGGGAGGCAGCAGUUAGGAAUCUUGGACAAUGGGCGCAAGCCUGAUCCAGCCAUGCCGCGUGAGUGAUGAAGGCCUUAGGGUUGUAAAGCUCUUUCAGCGGGGAAGAUAAUGACGGUACCCGCAGAAGAAGCCCCGGCUAACUUCGUGCCAGCAGCCGCGGUAAUACGAAGGGGGCUAGCGUUG
rnacentral:rRNA from 1 species